rnacentral:rRNA from 1 species
UACGUAGGGGGCAAGCGUUGUCCGGAUUUACUGGGCGUAAAGAGCGCGUAGGCGGAAUGGUAAGCGGGGCCGGAAAGCCCCCGGCUCAACCGGGGAGGGUCGUCGGGGACCGCACCGCUUGAGGGCGGUAGGGGCUGGUGGAAUGCCUGGUGUAGUGGUGAAAUGCGUAGAGAUCAGGCGGAACACCCGUAGCGAAAGGCGGCCAGCUGGGCCGUCCCUGACACUGAGGCGCGAAGGCGUGGGGAGCGAACGGGG